rnacentral:rRNA from 1 species
AACGAACGCUGGCGGCAGGCCUAACACAUGCAAGUCGAGCGAGGACUUCGGUCCUAGCGGCGGACGGGUGAGUAACGCGUGGGAACGUGCCCUUUGCUUCGGAAUAGCCCUGGGAAACUGGGAGUAAUACCGGAUGAGCCCUUUGGGGGAAAGAUUUAUCGGCGAAGGAUCGGCCCGCGUUGGAUUAGGUAGUUGGUGGGGUAAUGGCCUACCAAGCCGACGAUCCAUAGCUGGUUUGAGAGGAUGCUCAGCCACACUGGGACUGAGACCCGGCCCAGACUCCUACGGGAGGCAGCAGUAGGGAGUCUUAGACAAUGGGGGAAACCCUGAUAUAGCCAUGCCGCGUGAGCGAUGAAGGCCUUAGGGUUGUAAAGCUCUUUCAGCUGGGAAGAUAAUGACGGUACCAGCAGAAGAAGCCCCGGCUAACUCCGUG